GGACAAAUUAAGCAGCCUAAUAUCUGUUGCUACUGGCAUGGCUGAAGUACUGGGGACAUCUGGUGAAGGACAGAUUGAUCGUGGUGGUGGAAAAAUGGUUUCCUGGAGUUUUAAGGGUCAGUUGAGGGGAAUUCAUUGGCGAUACAUAGGGCUGAGUCUGGAUCAAAGUACCGGGACCACCGGUCACUCUGUGACAAAAAGCAGGAAUGGGGCUAUUGAGCAUUCCAUGAAAGACUUGUUCAACAAACUAGCUGCAAAGGGUUUACUUUGAAAUAUUUUACAAUCAUCCAUACGUUUCCAAGUAUUGAAUGUAAAAAAAAAUACAUAAUACGAUAUCAGUAUCAUAUUAUUAGGAAUUUUAACUCUGUAUUCUUUAUUGAGCAGAGAACCUUCUUUUAUCACUUUUAUGCAUUGAUAUUUAAAACAGCCACUUUACUUGCCCCCUCCCCCUUUUCAAAUAUAACCUCUUAACGAAAAAUUCACAGGGUACACAUGGCUGUCAUUUUCAAUAUUUGUAGGUCGGUCGUAACAGCUUGAAAUUUUGUCUGAAUUUCCCUAAAAUAAAUUCCAUGCAACCAUAAUUUUAGGAUCAGUCUUUCGAGGACAGCGCAACCAAAAGGCGUGUUACACUGUCUUGUAAAUUUCAGCUUGGAGAUUAUCGUUUUUUUUUAUAGAAAAAAGUAUAAAAUUUCAAGUGGCUUUGAAUAUUCAUUAUUAUUACCUAAUCAAGUGAUUUUUGCAGUUUUAUUAGAGAUUUAAUAUUUUCAUCUACUUUGGAUGUGUUUUCAGUUUUCCUUAUCUUUUCAAACCGAUCUAUUGACCGGUCAAUAGAAUGCGCGUUCUAUUGACCGGUCAAUAGAAUAGGCGUUCUAUUGACCGGUCAAUAGACUGCGCGUUCUAUUGACCAGUGACGUAUUUCGUCAAAAACGACCCGGGUUUAGAAUAUAGUUGUUUGUAACACUGCACAGACAUGGUAAACAAUUAAUAUCUUAUUCGAUGUUUCUUCAUUGGUUUUAAAAAUUGUGUGUUUUCAAUGGUCGGAUAUUUUUUUAAUGAGAGUUACUUUUAAUUAAUACACUGUGGAAUGUGGUCCCAUGUAGCAGUAGGUGCUCUGCUGGCACGAAAAAGGCCCCUAUCCACCGGGAAGUGGUGGUGUCUCCAUAAGAGUGAAAAAUUUUCCAAAGGAAUGUUAACAAUAGUCUAUACAAUCAAUCUUUAAUUAAUAUUACAUAUGCACCGUAUCUAGGUAAAAAUUAACAGUACGGGAACCUUAUGUACUGAAUAUACAAUUUUGAACAUUUAAUACGGAAAAUAAAAUUAGGUAAUAAAACAAUUAUUUAAUGCCUGAACAGUCAAUAGACCAUAAAAUUUUUCCCUCGGUGCAGGGAACAGCUCAGUGUGUUCUAUUGCCCUCGGCCGCUGGCCUCGGGAAAUAGAACACAGUGAGCUGUUCCCUGCACCUCGGGAAAAAUAUUCUGGUCUAUUGACUGCUCAGGCAUUAAAUAAUUGUAUACUAUAACAAUUGUAAUACUCAUUUGAAAAACCAAAAUGACUCUGGACCACUAGAAUGAUACGAAAAAUCAGUAAUAUUAAAAAAUGUUGUAUAAUAAAAUUACAUACAUUGGCAAGUAUAAUAUUUAUAGUAUUUGUUUAUCAUUGCAAUUUUAUGAAUAGCAAACCAAUAUUAAACAAUAUGUAUAUAAUAACAAGUUAUUGUACAUGAAAUAUAAUUUAUUUGAUUGAAGAAAAUCUGUCAAGAUUAACGUUAUAUUUAGCUAUUAUUGCAAAUGAAUAAAUUUCAUUUAUGUUAAAUGUCCCUGUUUAAUAAUGUUAUUAUAUAACAGUGGCUGUAACGUACAUGGUUUUCUACUAAGCAGCUAUACAUUUUUUUUUAUUUUAUUGAGCUAAUUUUACACUUUUUCUUUACCUAAAUAUGUGUUCAAGCAAUCAACAAAGCUCUAAUCAAUCACAUGAUCAUUAUUGAUUUUAGACUGUAUUUUACUUUUCCGAUAUUUACUUUAUUAAAUGAAAUAUUUCACUUCUAAA